UGCUUAAAUUGUCUACUGGUUAAGGAAAAUUCCGAUCGGUCUCCGGUGACAAUAGACUGUCUAACUACGGCGUAAUUGUGGCCCCACAAUCGAUCCAAUUGCUGCGGACUCUUUGGCGAAGUCACCAGCGACUGCAACUGCACCAGCAACUUGUGCACAGUGCGGUCAGCGGCGUAACAUCGUCGGAAAAGGGCUUUCGGAAUCGGAGCACCCCGAGCUCAUUGGAAGAGCCGGUUGAUUGUGGUCACAUAAUGAGUGGCAGGUAUCGUGGUGGCAGCGGUGGACGCUAUGGCGGCGGUGGUGGAG